rnacentral:misc_RNA from 1 species
AAGUCGUAACAAGGUCUCCGUAGGUGAACCUGCGGAGGGAUCAUCAAAGGAUUUUCCCAAAGAAAAAAUUGAGUGUUGCUCUAUCUCUGUAAAAAGAGAGGGGUGAGUGCACUCUUUUUUUCUCCAAACAAACGAUCACAACUAUUGAAACAAGAAAUUUGAUUUGGUUUGGUUUGGUUGGAAAAUUGAAAAGUGUUUGCCUGAUAAUCUAAUGAUUUGGAAAAACAAGAGAAAUACAACUUUCAACAACGGAUCUCUUGGCUCUCA